UACGGAGGGGGCUAGCGUUGUUCGGAAUUACUGGGCGUAAAGCGUACGUAGGCGGCUUUUUAAGUCAGAGGUGAAAGCCCGGGGCUCAACUCCGGAAUUGCCUUUGAAACUGAAGAGCUUGAACAUGGGAGAGGUGAGUGGAAUUCCGAGUGUAGAGGUGAAAUUCGUAGAUAUUCGGAGGAACACCAGUGGCGAAGGCGGCUCACUGGACCAUUGUUGACGCUGAGGUACGAAAGCGUGGGGAGCAAACAGG
rnacentral:rRNA from 1 species